UCGAACGAUGAACCCACUUCGGUGGGGGAUUAGUGGCGAACGGGUGAGUAACACGUGGGCAAUCUGCCCUUCACUCUGGGACAAGCCCUGGAAACGGGGUCUAAUACCGGAUACGACCACUUCAGGCAUCUGAUGGUGGUGGAAAGCUCCGGCGGUGAAGGAUGAGCCCGCGGCCUAUCAGCUUGUUGGUGGGGUAAUGGCCCACCAAGGCGACGACGGGUAGCCGGCCUGAGAGGGCGACCGGCCACACUGGGACUGAGACACGGCCCAGACUCCUACGGGAGGCAGCAGUGGGGAAUAUUGCACAAUGGGCGAAAGCCUGAUGCAGCGACGCCGCGUGAGGGAUGACGGCCUUCGGGUUGUAAACCUCUUUCAGCAGGGAAGAAGCGAAAGUGACGGUACCUGCAGAAGAAGCGCCGGCUAACUACGUGCCAGCAGCCGCGGUAAUACGUAGGGCGCAAGCGUUGUCCGGAAUUAUUGGGCGUAAAGAGCUCGUAGGCGGCUUGUCACGUCGGAUGUGAAAGCCCGGGGCUUAACCCCGGGUCUGCAUUCGAUACGGGCAGGCUAGAGUGUGGUAGGGGAGAUCGGAAUUCCUGGUGUAGCGGUGAAAUGCGCAGAUAUCAGGAGGAACACCGGUGGCGAAGGCGGAUCUCUGGGCCAUUACUGACGCUGAGGAGCGAAAGCGUGGGGAGCGAACAGGAUU
rnacentral:rRNA from 1 species